GCUGUGAUGGCCGAGCGGUUAAGGCGUGGGACUCGAAGUCUUACAGGUAAUACCCGCAGAGGUUCAAAUCCUAUCCACAGCG
rnacentral:tRNA from 1 species